rnacentral:rRNA from 1 species
AUACGGAGGAUCCGAGCGUUAUCCGGAUUUAUUGGGUUUAAAGGGAGCGUAGGCGGGAGCUUAAGUCAGCGGUUAAAUGGUGCGGCUCAACCGUGCCCUGCCGUUGAAACUGGGUUUCUUGAGAGUGCAAGAGGCGGAUGGAAUUCAUGGUGUAGGGGUGUAAUGCUUAGAUAUCAUGAAGAACUCCGAUUGCGAAGGCAGUCCGCUGGGGCACGUCUGACGCUGAUGCUCAAAGGUGCGGGAAUCAAACAGGAUUAGAUACCCUGGUAGUCCGCACGGUAAACGAUGAUUACCCGCUGUCGGCGGUAGACAGUCGGCGGCCAAGCGAAAGCGAUAAGUAAUCCACCUGGGGAGUACGCCGGCAACGGUGAAACUCAAAUGAAUUGGCGGGG